AACGUAUGGUUAAGUGAAGGUUGUGACAACUUCAGUUGACGAUUUUGAGAGCUAAAGGAACGAUCAUUAAAUUAUAAAGGAUAGAAAAAGGAAAGGUAUUUUUCACAAUUAGCAUAGAAUUUACAAUCGGAACAACGCCAUAUCAGCACCAAAGCAUUUCAAGGUAAUUCACCGUUUAGAAAAGAAAGCGUGGAUGGCAGAGGCUGUAGAUACACUGAACGUAUUCUGUGAUCAACAUAUAAAGGUUCCAUCACGUUCAAAUGAAUGACAGGUUCAGAAACGUAACUUUUGCUAAUAAUGGUGGUUAGUACUUGCCUUGGUAAAUGAUAAGAUAAACUAUCAAUGCAAUAUUUAGUAAAUUUAAUAAAUACCUUCUGGAAACAGCUACUUGCUCCGCAAUCCACCAAGGAGAACGACAUUGAACUGAUUUGUAAUUUGGCAAGCGGACGUGCUUUCUUAGAUGCAUUGAAAAUGCAUAAUCAAAAUUUUCAUAACCUUCUGCUAAAAAUUUCGCUUCUCCGUUGUGUAAUUCUAUCUUUAGUAAGAACAACUGAACCAUAAAUCAUUCGACAACAAACAAGUGCACAUCAAACCUUUAAAACUUACGCCAUAAAGCAAUUAAUGCAGAAGGUACGGUUUCAUCAAAAAAGGCGCACUUUCCUUGAAACAUUGACAGGCAAACUGUUGUAGGUAGUUGGUUUGUUUACAAUUGCGCGCGACGCGUUUCGAAAAAGAAACACAAUAAAAGAUAUUCAAGAAUACUAACCAAUACUUUCUUUCUAUUUUUUAAUACACAAUAAGAAGCCGAUUUGAUGAAUUGAAAGGAAAACGAUCAAAUUAGUUUUAUAGGAAUUAACAUUAGAACAAUAUACCAG